UACGUAGGCAGCGAGCGUUGUUCGGAGUUACUGGGCGUAAAGGGUGUGUAGGCGGUGAUUUAAGUUUGGUGUGAAAUCUCCCGGCUCAACCGGGAGGGUGCGCCGAAUACUGAAUGACUUGGAGUGCGGGAGAGGAAAGUGGAAUUCCUGGUGUAGCGGUGAAAUGCGUAGAUAUCAGGAGGAACACCGGUGGUGUAGACGGCUUUCUGGACCGUAACUGACGCUGAGACACGAAAGCGUGGGUAGCAAACAGG
rnacentral:rRNA from 1 species